UACGAAGGGUGCAAGCGUUGCUCGGAAUUAUUGGGCGUAAAGGGUAGGUAGGUGGUGAUAAAAGUCUGGAGUGAAAUCCCCGAGCUUAACUUGGGACGUGCUUUGGAAACUUUAUCACUAGAGUACUAGAGAGGUUCGUGGAAUUCCUGGUGUAGCGGUGAAAUGCGUAGAGAUCAGGAGGAACAUCAGCGGCGAAGGCGGCGAACUGGAUAGUAACUGACACUCAACUACGAAAGCGUGGGGAGCAAACAGG
rnacentral:rRNA from 1 species